rnacentral:lncRNA from 1 species
GGGGGCUCUCAAAGGGGCUGAGGCAGGAGACGCCCAGGUCCCGGAGGGCCAAGGACGGGCUGAAAGUCCAGACUCCAGAAUCAGUGAGGUGGGCUGGUGCCCGACCUGCCCGGACGCUGGAGCCCUGGUGCCCUUGCAGCAAGUGUGUCCCCUGGGAUGCGAUUGUCUGCUCUCUGCCCAGCUGUCCCAGCGGACAUGAGUGGGGGCCAGGGGCAGCCUCAACAUGACCCAGCUCAAGGCGCAGUGUACACAGGCAGCCUUGGAGGAUGCACAUGAGAACCUGCUGGUCCUUUUAGCACCCACACUGGGCACCACAUUCUCCAGGAAGUAUCCCCCGUCCUGUGUUCCUGCUUACAGCUCCAGCUGCUCCGACUGAGCUGCCCUUUGGACGACGCUAAGCUCCCGGGCAGCAGGGUUGGGCCUGCGCACCUCGGGGCUCGCCGAGCCCGACCAGGCAUCUGGCACAGCAACAGACAUCAGCGGAUGUAAACUCUAUGAGGACGUCAGGAAUGCUACUUCCUCCCUCUGCUUGCCCAGCGUUCCACACGACCCCUGGCAGCGAAGCGCACAAAGGAGUGGCCGUGGUGAAUGAAUGAACCCGUCCGUGCCAGCGCCGCCUUAGUACCAGCACCUGACACAGCAGGUGCGAGUGAGCCCUUGUGGAGACGUGAAGACGUGAGCGCAUGCGCGGCCGCCCGGGAUCCGCCUCCUGCAUCCCUGCCGGGAGCUGGGUCCCGAUGUAGUGCGAGGAAUAGUUGUAGGUGACUCUAGGUUCGGAGUGAAGGCCCCUCUCCAGGAGUUGGGCCGGGCUGGGCUGGAGUCCCUCCCUCCCCUCCUCCCGCCCCGCCCCCACAUGCACACACCAAAACAUUAAAAAAAACAUCUCAAAAACUGCAAAAAACACCAUGGCCCUCCCCCUCCCCCUGAAUCCCACCAAAAAAAUAAAACACGUCGCUCGCCAGGGCCCCUCCCCUUCUUCCUCCUCUCCCCGGGGUCCCUGCUUCGGAGGGGGAAGGAAGGGACGGCCCCGCGCCCCGGGCCGGGGGCGCGCGAGGGGCGAAG